rnacentral:pre_miRNA from 1 species
GAAGCGAUGCAUCCGGAUGACGUCUGCACCGGCCGUGAUCGUAAACUUUUUAUCUGGUCGGUGGGACUUUCGUCCGUUUGCAAUGCUCACGA